CGCUAAGAAGCUAAAUAGGGCACAUAGCAUUAGCCUUUUAAGCUAAAGACUGGUGACUCCCAAUCACCCUUAGUGA
rnacentral:tRNA from 1 species